rnacentral:lncRNA from 1 species
AUUUCUGCAAAGGAGGUGACAUCAGUUGUUGUCACAGCUGCUGUUGUGCCUAGGACACUUCUUUCUCUGGACUACAGACUCCUGUGAAGUGCUUCCACUGACAUUCUGGCAAAGGCUGGAACAAGAAAAGGAAAUCUCCCCAGAGUUCGACCUGUAGGAUCAAACUCAUCAGCCCCCAAGUAAGAGAAACCUACUUACCCAUAAACAUGAUGGCUGCAA